AACGUAGGAGACAAACGUUGUCCGGAUUUAUUGGGCGUAAAGAGCGUGUAGGCGGCCAGGUAGGUCUGCUGUGAAAACUCGAGGCUCAACCUCGAGACGUCGGCGGAAACCAUCUGGCUAGAGUCCGGAAGAGGAGAGUGGAAUUCCUGGUGUAGCGGUGAAAUGCGCAGAUAUCAGGAGGAACACCAAUGGCGAAGGCAGCUCGCUGGGACGUGACUGACGCUGAGGAGCGAAAGCGUGGGGAGCAAACAGG
rnacentral:rRNA from 1 species